CCUACGGGUGGCAGCAGUGAGGAAUAUUGGUCAAUGGGCUUACGCCUGAACCAGCCAAGUCGCGUGAGGGAAGACUGCCCUAUGGGUUGUAAACCUCUUUUGUCAGGGAGCAACGCCGGCUACGUGUAGCCGGACUGAGAGUACCUGAAGAAAAAGCAUCGGCUAACUCCGUGCCAGCAGCCGCGGUAAUACGGAGGAUGCGAGCGUGAUCCGGAUUUAUUGGGUUUAAAGGGUGCGUAGGCGGACUGGAAAGUCAGCGGUAAAAUCGAGAGGCUCAACCUCUUUCCGCCGUUGAAACUGUCGGUCUUGAGUGGGCGAGAAGUAUGCGGAAUGCGUGGUGUAGCGGUGAAAUGCAUAGAUAUCACGCAGAACUCCGAUUGCGAAGGCAGCAUACCGGCGCCCGACUGACGCUGAGGCACGAAAGCGUGGGGAUCGAACAGGAUUAGAUACCCCUGUAGUC
rnacentral:rRNA from 1 species